ensembl:piRNA 21ur-256 ncRNA
CUGAAUAGCGCUAUUGUAAUU